rnacentral:rRNA from 1 species
CUAAGCAUAUCAAUAAGCGGAGGAAAAGAAACUAACAAGGAUUCCCCUAGUAACUGCGAGUGAAGCGGGAAAAGCUCAAAUUUAAAAUCUGGCAGUCUUUGGCUGUCCGAGUUGUAGUCUGGAGAAGUGUCUUCCGUGCUGGACCGUGUACAAGUCUCUUGGAACAGAGCGUCAUAGAGGGUGAGAAUCCCGUCUUUGACACGGACUACCAGUGCUUUGUGAUGCGCUCUCAAAGAGUCGAGUUGUUUGGGAAUGCAGCUCAAAAUGGGUGGUGAAUUCCAUCUAAAGCUAAAUAUUGGCGAGAGACCGAUAGCGAACAAGUACCGUGAGGGAAAGAUGAAAAGCACUUUGGAAAGAGAGUUAAACAGUACGUGAAAUUGCUAAAAGGGAACCGCUUGAAGUCAGUCGCGUUGUUCAGAACUCAACCUGGCUUUUGCUUGGUGCACUUUCUGUUUGACGGGCCAGCAUCAGUUUUGACUGCCAGAAAAAAGCCUUUGGAAUGUGGCACCUCUGGGUGUGUUAUAGCCUUUGGUUGUAUAUGGUGGUUGGGACUGAGGAUCGCAGCAUGCCUUUUGGCCGGGGUUCGCCCACGUACAUGCUUAGGAUGCUGGCAUAAUGGCUUUAAGCGACCCGUCUUGAAACACGGACCAAGGAGUCUAACAUGCGUGCAAGUGUUUGGGUGGAAAACCCGAGUGCAUAAUGAAAGUGAAAGUUGGGAUCCCUGUCGUGGGGAGCACCGACGCCCAUACCAGACCUACUGUGACGGAUAUGAGGUUGAGCAUGUAUGUUGGGACCCGAAAGAUGGUGAACUAUGCCUGAAUAGGGUGAAGCCAGAGGAAACUCUGGUGGAAGCUCGUAGCGAUUCUGACGUGCAAAUCGAUCGUCAAAUUUGGGUAUAGGGGCGAAAGACUAAUCGAACCAUCUAGUAGCUGGUUCCUGCCGAAGUUUCCCUCAGGAUAGCAGAAACUCGUAUCAGAUUUAUGUGGUAAAGCGAAUGAUUAGAGGCCUUGGGGUUGAAACAACCUUAACCUAUUCUCAAACUUUAAAUAUGUAAGAACGGGCUGUCACUUAAUUGGACUGCCUGGCGAUUGAAAAUUUCUAGUGGGCCAUUUUUGGUAAGC